rnacentral:rRNA from 1 species
AUGCAUAGACUAUCACAACAAAAAGGCAAGACCAUGGUGAGCAUGAAGCAGCAGCAUGUCACUCGCGCAACCGCUGCCGUAGUGGCCGUGCUGCUGCUGCUCAUGGUGGCGGCCCCCGGUGGCGCGGCGGCACAAGGUCGUAGAGGAGGAGGAGGAGGAGGACGUGGAUACGGAUAUGGCGGUAGUGGUGACCAUGAAUGGGGAGGCGAAGGUGGUGGUCUGAGCAUGGAUUACUACUCCAUGACGUGCCCGCACGCCCAAGACAUCGUGCGCGGCGUGGUGUUCAAGGCGCUGGACAAGGACCCCACCCUGGCGGCGUCGCUGCUCCGGCUUCACUUCCACGACUGCUUCGUCCGCGGCUGCGACGCCUCGGUGCUCCUCGACUCCACCAAGGCCCACGGCACCGCCGAGAAGGACGCGCUCACCGACAAGUCCCUGCGCGGCUUCGAGGUCAUCGACGCCGUCAAGGCCGCCCUCGAGGCGCAGUGCCCCGGCACCGUCUCCUGCGCCGACGUCCUCGCGCUCGCCGCCCGGGACUCCGUCUUCAUGGCUGGGGACCUCUACUACAUGGUGCCCAUGGGCCGCAAGGACGGUUACGUCUCCCGCGCCGCCGACACCUCCGCGCUCCCCGCCGCGACGCUCAACGCGUCCGAGCUUAUCAAGGUGUUCGUCGGUGACCACGGCUUCACCGUGCCGGAGCUCGUGGCGCUCUCCGGCGCCCACACGCUCGGCCAGGCCCACUGCGCCAACUUCAAGAACCGGCUCAGCGGCUUCGGCAAGGCCGGCAAGGACCCCACGAUGGAGGCCUGGAUGGCGGCGUCCCUGGCCAAGACCUGCAAGGCCGGCGGCGACGGCGCCACGGCCAAGCUCGACGCCACCAGCAACGCCUUCGACGUCGAGUACUACAAGGGCCUGCAGGCCAGGAGGGGUCUGCUGACGUCCGACCAGACGCUGCUCACCGGGUCGCCGGAGACGGCCACGUAUGUGAAGCAGUUCGCCGACAGCCCGGACGACUUCUUCGAGACGUUCGUGCAGGGGAUGGGGAGGAUGGGGCAGCUGGACCUCAACCCGGACGGCAACGUCAGGAUCAGCUGCAGGGUGCUCAACUAA